rnacentral:rRNA from 1 species
UACGUAGGGUGCGAGCGUUAACCGGAAUUACUGGGCGUAAAGCGUGCGCAGGCGGUUCGUUGUGUCGGUGGUGAAAUCCCCGGGCUCAACCUGGGAACUGCAUUUGUGACUGCAUCGCUGGAGUGCGGCAGAGGGGGAUGGAAUUCCGCGUGUAGCAGUGAAAUGCGUAGAUAUGCGGAGGAACACCGAUGGCGAAGGCAAUCCCCUGGGCCUGCACUGACGCUCAUGCACGAAAGCGUGGGGAGCAAACAGG